rnacentral:rRNA from 1 species
AGUGAACGCUGGCGGCGUGCUUAACACAUGCAAGUCGAACGAAGUCGCGCACGGGUGAGUAAUAUAUUGUUACUCUGCCUUACACAGAAGAACAACAGACGGAAACGACGGCUGAUACCUCAUAGUGCAGGAUGAGACUAUAACGUAUUAGCUAGUUGGUAAGGUGAUGGCUUACCAAGGCGAUGACGAGUAACUGGUCAGAGAGGAUGAUCAGUAGAAUUGGAACUGAGGCAGCAUCCGGGCUCCUUCGACAAUCGGCAGUAAGGUGUAUUACGCAAUGCGCGAGAAUGAGGCGCGCCAUCGCGGCGUAAAGUACGAUAGUUUUCGGAGCAUAAGGUCCUUUUAUCAGGAAAGCGGUACCUAAUGAAUAAGCACCGGCUAACUCCGUGCCAGCAGCCGCGGUAAUAC